rnacentral:rRNA from 1 species
GACGAACGCUGGCGGCGUGCUUAACACAUGCAAGUCGAACGGAAAGGCCCAGCUUGCUGGGUACUCGAGUGGCGAACGGUGAGUAACACGUGGGUGAUCUGCCCCAAACUUCGGGAUAAGCCUGGGAAACUGGGUCUAAUACCGGAUAUGACCUGCUCCUGCAUGGGGGUUGGUGGAAAGCUUUUGCGGUUUGGGAUGGGCCCGCGGCCUAUCAGCUUGUUGGUGGGGUAAUGGCCUACCAAGGCGACGACGGGUAGCCGACCUGAGAGGGUGAUCGGCCACACUGGGACUGAGACACGGCCCAGACUCCUACGGGAGGCAGCAGUGGGGAAUAUUGCACAAUGGGCGCAAGCCUGAUGCGGCGACGCCGCGUGAGGGAUGACGGCC